UUAAGUUCAGCGGGUAUCCCUACCUGAUCCGAGGUCAAACUUGGGGUGGUCUUGUGGACGCCCGUGCCGGUCGGUUCGCGAGGCGCGAUUUGCUGCGCUCGAAGCCAAUGACACAGGCCGCCAAUGUUUUUGAGGCGAGUCCGCGCACGAGGCGGGACAGACGCCCAACACCAAGCAGUGCUUGAGGGUUUAGAUGACGC
rnacentral:misc_RNA from 1 species